AAAAGACAAUUGUCUGUCAUCUUUGUCUAACCAUUUAUGAAGUUUGACAGAAGUUAGGCACAGAUUUUUGAUAUGAUUGUACAAGUUGGAACAAAUAUGGGGAUUUAAUUUUAAAUUUUGUACAGCUGACAGCUGACCAUAGAUAACCUAACCUGUUUGUUUAUAUUUACAUAACCGUUACAGUCGGAGCCGGAAACUUUCUGAUUUUUAUUCGACUUAUUACACUAAUUAAAUGAGACCAUUGAUAUUGAUACUUUGAAAGCAAUCUGAUGAUUACAUGCAUUAAGAGUUCUUCUUUUGGGUACAUUAAACUUUCCAUUUUCCAAAAAUAAAAGUAAUAUUAGAUGAUCGAAAUACUCAAAAAUCUGGAGCAUUCUCAAAUAACAAAACUAAAAUUUUAAAUGAUAAUCAAAUGUGAUUUAAACCAAUACAUUUUAUUGAGGAGUAGAA